rnacentral:lncRNA from 1 species
AUUUGUGCUUGUCAAAAGUCACAGAGCACUUUCACAUUCAUCAUGUCAAGUCAUCUUCACAACAACCUUGUGAAAUGUAAAUUAUCUCUAUUUUUGCAAGUGGGGAUGAAGCAUUGAUUCAGUAGCUCUCCCCAAAUCACCAACCAGUCAGAAUGCAAAUCUUUGCCUCCUGGGCCUUGUGUUUUCUGCUACACCUCAGUGCCACUCAGGAUUUACACAUUCUGGCUUCUUGACAGCUUCUUACCUGGUCCUCUCUGCUCAGUGGAUCCUGAUGGAGUCCUUCCCAUCCGUCCAACUGGUAGUCUUCACCAGCUGCCAAAGGAACAUUCUGUCAUCCACAUUCCAUCCAUCCAGCCCUCCUCCCUCUAGAGAAUCAAGGAUCAGUGUGGUUGUAGGACAGAGAACUGGACAUACUUGUGAAGUCUCAAGCUUCUAAAAUUCAUGGUUAUCCUUUUUCUCCUGUAGUAACGUUUGUACCAAGGAAAAAGCUGGUCACUGGAUGACUUUUCAAGUCAAUUGGACAUUGUAAAAUUUGAAAUGGAAGAAAUAUUGAAAUUUCUGGAACUCUGAUUUUGAGGAUCUUGUCCUUUUCCC